UACAGAGGUCCCGAGCGUUGUUCGGAUUCACUGGGCGUAAAGGGUGCGCAGGUGGCUUGGCAAGUUUGAUGUGAAAGCUCAGGGCUUAACCCUGAAAUGGCAUUGAAUACUGUUGAGCUGGAGGUUUGGAGGGGGGACUGGAAUUCCUGGUGUAGCAGUGAAAUGCGUAGAUAUCUGGAGGAACACCGGUGGCGAAGGCGGCAUCCUGGACCAAUAUUGACGCUGAGGAGCGAAAGCUAGGGGAGCAAACGGG
rnacentral:rRNA from 1 species